rnacentral:rRNA from 1 species
GAUGAACGCUGGCGGCGUGCUUAACACAUGCAAGUCGAACGGAAAGGCCCAAGCUUGCUUGGGUACUCGAGUGGCGAACGGGUGAGUAACACGUGGGUGAUCUGCCCUGCACUUCGGGAUAAGCCUGGGAAACUGGGUCUAAUACCGGAUAGGACCACUUCUUGGAUGUUGUGGUGGAAAGUUUUUUCGGUGUGGGAUGAGCUCGCGGCCUAUCAGCUUGUUGGUGGGGUAAUGGCCUACCAAGGCGUCGACGGGUAGCCGGCCUGAGAGGGUGUACGGCCACAUUGGGACUGAGAUACGGCCCAGACUCCUACGGGGGGCAGCAGUGGGGAAUAUUGCACAAUGGGCGCAAGCCUGAUGCAGCGACGCCGCGUGGGAGAUGACGGCCUUCGGGUUGUAAACUCCUUUCGCUAGGGACGAAGCGUUUUUGUGACGGUACCUGGAGAAGAAGCACCGGCUAACUACGUG